AGAAGAGGGCUCUUCAGCACAUGGAAGCUGGAAAGGGAUAAACAGGUAAGACUGUUAGGGAAUCUCUUGUUGGGAAUUUGACAUCUUAGAACAUUCUGCAACCUUGUGGCCGGGAAAUGGAAACAGAUCUCAUCUUUGCCACUCUCGUGACUCAAGGACCUCAUCUGGCAGCCUGGCUCAUGUUUUUCAGCCAAGUAGCUUCCAGCUCACAGCAGCCCGCAAACUUGGACCUGCCACCAGCUCCAGAGCUUGACUGGAUGGAGACAGGACCAUCUCUGACAUUCAUUGGCCAUCAGGUACAAAGGAUAAGCAAGCCAGAAGAGGGCCAAUGGUCCCUCAGGUCUCAGGACCCCUUUCUCCUGAUUUUCUACCUAUUCUAGCCACUGCUGUCUCCACUGCAGGCUUUUCCUUCUUUCACUGUUCCCUAGUAGUGUUCUCAGACCUCUUCUCACCCUCCAAAGGGAUCCUAUUCACAUGUAUUAACGCUUAGGAGUGCCAACUCCUAAAUCUUGCCCUCUGUAGAACUCAGUUCCAACUCAACACAGGACAUUAUAUUUAAAUAUCCCACAGGCAUCUGAAACUAACCCCCACCACUCCUGUAUUUCCAAUCACUAGAUGCAGAUCCUUUCCUUCUUUUCCAUCUCCCAUAUCCCGUCAACAAGCAGUCAGUUUUAACCUGUCUGCCUCCCUUCAGCCUUUGGACAAUUUCUACUCCCCCUCCAAUCCUGCCUCACAAACAGAAAAUCAUCGUACCACUUAUGAUCUUACUCUACACUUCAACUGUAUUGCUUCGGGCUUUUCCAGUUGCCAUUGCCUAAAACAUGCUUUCCUUCCCCCAAAGUUUACCUUCCUUUAACUGUUAGCUCAAAUGUCACUUUUUCAUAAAAGGCUUAUCUGAACAGGUUAUCUCUAUUUCAAGUGGAUGUAGCACCAUGUAAAGUUGCAAAUGUAAUUUACUAACUUGUGCUUAAUGCUCUUCCCCAAUUAUAUGUAUGCUGUGAGGGCAAGGUUUUGCUCACCUGGCAUGUAAUAGCCACUCUACUUACAGACAUCUCCACUGUUAUGACUGUGAGCUUCCUGAGGACAGGGCUGUCUUAGAGUGACUUACUAUGCUUUCAAAGUUUAACAUCAGCUGGGGUGCAGAAUUAGCAUUGUGGCAGCAGUCACACCCACCUCUUUUAAAGUGUGCUUGUCUAUCGUUUCUAGGAUUUUUUUUUUUAAUCAUGCCUAGACUUUAACUAGCAUUUUUUUCCCGUUUCCAACUACAGGAUAUACCAGGAGUUGGUAACAUCCACUCAGGUGCCACACCUCCCUGGAUGAUCCAAGAUGAAUACACUGCUGGGAACCAAGAAAUAGGACCAUCCUAUGAAGAAUUUCUUAAAGAAAAGGAAAAACAGAAGUUGAAAAAACUCCCCCCAGACCGAGUUGGGGCCAACUUUGAUCACAGCUCCAGGACCAGUGCAGGCUGGCUGCCCUCUUUUGGCCGCGUCUGGAAUAAUGGACGCCGCUGGCAGUCCAGACAUCAAUUCAAAACUGAAGCUGCAGCAAUGAAGAAGCAGUCACAUACAGAAAAAAGCUAAUCAUGCUCUACCAACUACCAUGAGGCUAAAAGCAAAGUCAACAAACCCCUACUAUCGUACCUUCCACCAAAUUCUUUAUCGUUGUCUUUCUUAGGAAACAGACAUACUCAUUCAUUUGAUUUAAUAAAGUUUUAUUUUUCCAAAUGUACAGUUGGUUGGACCUGUAAAAAAAAAUUAAAAUAAUCAGAACCAUA
rnacentral:sRNA from 1 species